UACGUAGGGCGCAAGCGUUAUCCGGAAUUAUUGGGCGUAAAGAGCGCGCAGGCGGUCGUUUAAGUCGAAUGUGAAAGCCCCCGGCUCAACUGGGGAGGGUCAUUCGAUACUGAUCUACUUGAAGGCAGGAGAGGGAAGUGGAAUUCCGGGUGUAGUGGUGAAAUGCGUAGAUAUCCGGAGGAACACCAGUGGCGAAGGCGACUUCCUGGCCUGUUCUUGACGCUGAGGCGCGAAAGCUGGGGGAGCAAACGGG
rnacentral:rRNA from 1 species